UACGUAGGGGGCUAGCGUUGUCCGGAAUCAUUGGGCGUAAAGAGCGCGUAGGCGGCUUUGCAAGUCGGGUGUGAAAUCCCCAGGCUUAACCUGGGAACUGCAUUCGAGACUGCAUUGCUAGAGUAUGGGAGAGGGAAGUGGAAUUUCCGGUGUAGCGGUGAAAUGCGUAGAUAUCGGAAGGAACAUCAGUGGCGAAAGCGACUUCCUGGACCAAUACUGACGCUCAUGUGCGAAAGCGUGGGGAGCAAACAGG
rnacentral:rRNA from 1 species